CCUACGGGUGGCAGCAGUGAGGAAUAUUGGUCAAUGGGCGCGAGCCUGAACCAGCCAAGUCGCGUGAGGGAAGACGGCCCUACGGGUUGUAAACCUUUUUUGCCGGGGAGCAACGGGUGCCACGUGUGGCGCCACUGAGAGUACCCGGAGAAAAAGCAUCGGCUAACUCCGUGCCAGCAGCCGCGGUAAUAGGGAGGAUGCGAGCGUUAUCCGGAUUUAUUGGGUUAAAGGGGUGCGUAGGCGGAGCGUUAAGUCAGUGGUCAAAUUGAGGGGCUCAACCCCUUCCCGCCAUUGAAACUGGCGCUCUUGAGUGGAAGAGAGGUAUGCGGAAUGCGUGGUGUAGCGGUGAAAUGCGUAGAUAUCACGCAGAACCCCGGUGGCGAAGGCAGCCUGCCGGCUUCCUACUGACGCUGAAGCACGAAAGCGUGGGGAUCGAACAGGAUUAGAUACCCUUGUAGUC
rnacentral:rRNA from 1 species